GACGAACGCUGGCGGCGUGCUUAACACAUGCAAGUCGAACGGAAAGGCCCUGCUUUUGUGGGGUGCUCGAGUGGCGAACGGGUGAGUAACACGUGAGUAACCUGCCCUUGACUUUGGGAUAACUUCAGGAAACUGGGGCUAAUACCGGAUAGGAGCUCCUGCUGCAUGGUGGGGUUGGAAAGUUUCGGCGGUUGGGGAUGGACUCGCGGCUUAUCAGCUUGUUGGUGGGGUAGUGGCUUACCAAGGCUUUGACGGGUAGCCGGCCUGAGAGGGUGACCGGCCACAUUGGGACUGAGAUACGGCCCAGACUCCUACGGGAGGCAGCAGUGGGGAAUAUGGCACAAUGGGCGGAAGCCUGAUGCAGCAACGCCGCGUGCGGGAUGACGGCCUUCGGGUUGUAAACCGCUUUCGCCUGUGACGAAGCGUGAGUGACGGUAAUGGGUAAAGAAACACCGGCUAACUACGU
rnacentral:rRNA from 1 species